rnacentral:rRNA from 1 species
UACGUAGGGGGCAAGCGUUGUCCGGAAUCAUUGGGCGUAAAGAGCGUGUAGGCGGUUCGGUAAGUCGGCUGUGAAAGUCCAGGGCUCAACCCUGGGAUGCCGGUCGAUACUGCCGGACUAGAGUUCGGAAGAGGCGAGUGGAAUUCCCGGUGUAGCGGUGAAAUGCGCAGAUAUCGGGAAGAACACCCGUGGCGAAGGCGGCUCUCUGGGACGGUACUGACGCUGAGACGCGAAAGCGUGGGGAGCGAACAGG